GGCUUGGGAAAGGACCAUUA
rnacentral:rRNA from 1 species